rnacentral:rRNA from 1 species
ACUCCUACGGGAGGCAGCAGUGGGGAAUAUUGCACAAUGGGCGCAAGCCUGAUGCAGCCAUGCCGCGUGUGUGAAGAAGGCCUUCGGGUUGUAAAGCACUUUCAGUCGUGAGGAAGGGUGAUAGUGUCAGUUUGAAAUAGCUGCAUUAUUUUGACGUUAGCGACAGAAGAAGCACCGGCUAACUCCGUGCCAGCAGCCGCGGUAAUACGGAGGGUGCGAG